GGUCAACACAGUAAAGCAAAACGUACGUCAAAAAUUAACGGAUCUAUUUCUCACAAUGAACCCCGGAGAAAUGAUUUUUGUCACUGUCACCAUUGCUACUGAGCAGAUGCGAACAUUACCUGUUGGAAUAAAGUAUGGCGCUAUUGAAUUUCUGUGAAAAAUAGAUUUAUGGAACCACUCACUCAUUUGGCAAUGAAUGGACCAGGACUCAGGUGAAAGCGAACCCUUCAUCUUUGGUUGUGAUCGGCACUUCGAAAAGCGAUUUGAAUAUCUUUUUUCGAAUCUGAUACGGCAAGGACAAUAUGUUUCUUACUUACUUAUGGAAAUAUGCUCUUUGACCGAAACGUGGUGUCUGUGGGAAUAGCAAUAAAGGAUGGUUCCCUUCAGAGGAAAUCGAGAUAAAGCAAAAUUGAAUAUUCAUUGUAGCCCUUUGGGAAUCGAGAUGGUAGGAAACCGCAGCCCGAAACGGCGAGCUAGCAUCAGCAGCGAGGUCUUAUAAAAAUAUAUCCGACAGAGACCGGUCAUCUGAUCCAAUUCGCCGCCAACGAUUCAAAUUCCGAAACGGUCGGAUCGAGGGGGAAAAUGCUCCGCUAAUCAUAAAUAGCUCGGCUGGUGUGGCGAUGUACUGCCGGAAAACAGACAUAAACGAUUUACACACUCCAAAGGCAGCAACAGAAGCCACUGUGUCUGGCUGGGCUUCCACACGUUCUCCAAUAACUCCCCGGUCGGUUUAUUGCUUUAUUUUCCAGUAUCAAUAAAACAUCUGUGUGUUCCAUGGAUUGGUGCAAGCAAGCACCUGU